rnacentral:misc_RNA from 1 species
ACGAUACUGAUAUGGAGACAGAUGUCAUAAUCCUGAAUGUCGGGGGGAUGUCUUGCGGUGGGUGUGCUGGAAAAGUGAAGCGCAUCUUAGAGAGCCAACCACAGGUAUCCGCUGCCACCGUCAACCUUGAGAAGGAGACUGCAGUAGUAUGGGUUGUACCCGAAGCGAAGGCUACAGAGGAUUGGCAGCAGAAACUAGGGGAGAUGCUAUCAAACCACUUGACCACAUGUGGUUUCAACUCCAACCUUCAAGGUACACACGUUUAGUGCAGGAGCAGAGCCUUAUAUAUUUGAUACCGG